AAACUUAAAGGAAUUGACGGAAAGGCACCACCAGGCGUGGAGCUUGCGGCUCAAUUUGACUCAACACGGGAAAUCUCACCAGACCCGAACAUCUCUAACGAUUGACAGAUUGAUAGCUCUUUCUUGAUUCGGUGGGUGGUGGUGCAUGGCCGUUCUUAGUUGGUGGAGUGAUUUGUCUGGUUAAUUCCGAUAACGAACGAGACUCUGUCCUGCUAAAUAGUGUCCGCUUCUCUUUUGAGCGGACAAUUCUUCUUAGAGGGACUGGCGACUCUUAGUCGCACGAGAUUGAGCAAUAACAGGUCUGUGAUGCCCUUAG
rnacentral:rRNA from 1 species